AGGUCUACCUGCCCAAUGAUGUAAAUUAAAUGGCCGCGGUAUACUGACCGUGCAAAGGUAGCAAAAUAAUUAGCCUCUUAAUUAGGGGCCGGCAUGAAAGGGAUGACAAGGGUACUGCUUUAUUGGGGGGGGGUAGGAAAUUAACUUCUCAUUCAAAAGGAUGAGAUGCCCUUGAAGGACGAGAAGACCCUAUAGAGCUUGAUAUUUAUCCCUUGAUUUAAUUUAGUCGGAUGGAAUGCAUCGGUGGGAAUUAUUACGUUGGGGCGACGAGAGAUCAAUAAAACUUCUCUUUAUGAGGACACGGAUUUGUGAUUAAAUGAUCCGCUAGUAGCGAUUUUAAGAUAAAGUUACCUUAGGGAUAACAGCAUAAUCCUCCCUGAGAGUUCUCAUUGACGGGAGGGCUUGUGACCUCGAUGUUGGAUUAAGGAUAUUGCUUGGAGCAGUAACUAAGCGGAUAGUC
rnacentral:rRNA from 1 species